rnacentral:lncRNA from 1 species
GCAAAGUGAGAGCCGAAAAUGAGAGAAGAAGAGAGCUGAGUUUGAGCGGGUGAGAGAGGAGGCCGAAUUAAGUGAGGGUCGAGCUAAGAGGGAGAAGAGAACAUCGCAAGAGAGAGAGACGAGAAAGAAAACCAGAAGGAGAGAAGGAAACGCGAUCGAAGAGGAAGAAGGAGGUUUCAUGGAGGCAGAAGACUGGAGGAAAGAAAUAAAAAAGGGAGUUGCGACUGAGAAACACCGCGUUGCUGGCGAAUUCUAA